AUUGCUAUCGGAGUCCGAUUUAGCCAUGCUAGUCGCACGAACUCAGAUUCGUGGCGUAUAGCUCAGUAACACGUGGCCAAACUACCCUACAGACCGCGAUAUCCUCGGGAAACUGAGGCCAAUAGCGGAUACCACUCUCACGCUGGAGUGCCGAGAGUGAGAAACGUUCCGGCGCUGUAGGAUGUGGCUGCGGCCGAUUAGGUAGAUGGUGGGGUAACGGCCCACCAUGCCCAUAAUCGGUACAGGUUGUGACAGCAAGAGCCUGGAGACGGUAUCUGAGACAAGAUACCGGGCCCUACGGGGCGCAGCAGGCGCGAAACCUUUACACUGCACGACAGUGCGAUAGGGGGACUCCGAGUGCGAGGGCAUAUAGUCCUCGCUUUUCUGAACCGUAAGGUGGUUCAGGAACAAGUGCUGGGCAAGACCGGUGCCAGCCGCCGCGGUAAUACCGGCAGCACGAGUGAUGGCCGAUAUUAUUGGGCCUAAAGCGUCCGUAGCUUGCUGUGUAAGUCCAUUGGGAAAUCCACGCGCCCAACGCGUGGGCGUCCGGUGGAAACUGCACGGCUUGGGGCCGAGAGACUCGACGGGUACGUCCGGGGUAGGAGUGAAAUCCUGUAAUCCUGGACGGACCACCAAUGGGGAAACCACGUCGAGAGACGGACCC
rnacentral:rRNA from 1 species